rnacentral:rRNA from 1 species
CCUACGGGAGGCUGCAGUGGGGAAUAUUGCACAAUGGGCGCAAGCCUGAUGCAGCCAUGCCGCGUGUGUGAAGAAGGCCUUCGGGUUGUAAAGCACUUUCAGCGGGGAGGAAGGCGUUAAGGUUAAUAACCUUGGCGAUUGACGUUACCCGCAGAAGAAGCACCGGCUAACUCCGUGCCAGCAGCCGCGGUAAUACGGAGGGUGCAAGCGUUAAUCGGAAUUACUGGGCGUAAAGCGCACGCAGGCGGUCUGUCAAGUCGGAUGUGAAAUCCCCGGGCUCAACCUGGGAACUGCAUUCGAAGCUGGCAGGCUAGAGUCUUGUAGAGGGGGGGAGAAUUCCAGGUGUAGCGGUGAAAUGCGUAGAGAUCUGGAGGAAUACCGGUGGCGAAGGCGGCCCCCUGGACAAAGACUGACGCUCAGGUGCGAAAGCGUGGGGAGCAAACAGGAUUAGAUACCCUUGUAGUC